rnacentral:rRNA from 1 species
UACGGGGGGGGCAAGCGUUGUUCGGAAUUACUGGGCGUAAAGGGCGCGUAGGCGGUUUGCUAAGUCGAAUGUGAAAACUCUGGGCUUAACCCAGAGCCUGCAUUCGAUACUGGCAGGCUAGAGUUCUGGAGGGGAUAGCGGAAUUCCUGGUGUAGCGGUGAAAUGCGUAGAUAUCAAGUGGAACACCAGUGGCGAAGGCGAGUCCCUGGAAAAUACCUGACACUGAGGCACGAAAGCUAGGGGAGCAAACAGG